GACGAACGCUGGCGGCGUGCUUAACACAUGCAAGUCGAACGGAAAGGCCCUGCGUUUGUGGGGUUCUCGAGGGGCGAACGGGGGAGUAACACGUGAGUAACCUGCCCUUGAUUUUGGGAUAACUUCAGGAAACUGGGGCUAAUACCGUAUAGGAUCUCCUGCUGCAUGGUGGGGGUUGGAAAGUUUCGGCGGUUGGGGCUGGACUCGCGGCUGAUCAGCUUGUUGGUGGGCGAGGUGCUUACCAAGGCUUUGACGGGUAGGCGGCCUGAGAGGGUGACCGGCCUCCUUGGGCCUACGAUAGGCACCAGACUCCUACGGGAGGCAACAGUGGGGAAUAUUGCCCAAUGGGACCGCGCCUGAUGAAGAAACGCCGCGUGCGGAAUGACGGCCUUCGGGUUGUAAAAAGCUUUAGCCUGUGACGAGGCGUGAGUGACGGUACUGGGUAAAGAAGCACCGGCUAACUACGUG
rnacentral:rRNA from 1 species